rnacentral:lncRNA from 1 species
AAGAUUCUCUAAAGAUUCCUUUAGAAGGUUCUAGAAUAUUCUUAGAAUAUUCCCUAAAGAUUCUUUUAGAAGGUUCUAGAAUAUUCUGAUAGAUUCUAGGAAGUUGCUCGAGAAGUUUUCUAAUUAGUAGAAGUUGUUGGAGAAGCGUCCUAGUUAGCGGAAGUAGCUCGAGAAGCUUCCUAUUCAGUAGUAUAUAUAGGAGUCGAGGCUGAAGGGUUCUUCAGUCUCGACAACACAUCUCUUGGAGUUCUAGCUCACCUUUCUGGUGUUGUUCUUGUACUCAUCUGAUUAAUCCAGUUCUUCUUGAACUUCUUGUCUAGUUUUCUUGUCUGUAUUUUGUAUCCGUGACAGUUUGUCGAGACUGCAUUUUCACUGGUAUCAGAGCUAGUUCCUUCUUGUUAGAGAGUGGAUUACCCCUCUUCUUGAAGGUGUGCUAGUGUUUUAGAGGUUGCGGAUUACCCUCCUCUAAACUGAUAUCUCUUCUUUCUCAAUAUUGGAGCCUUAUUCUUCUUAGAGAGAGUGGAUUACCCCUCAUCUUGGAGUCUUAAGGCGUUUUAGAG